GAUGAAGAACGCAGCGAAAUGCGAUACGUAAUGUGAAUUGCAGAAUUCAGUGAAUCAUCGAGUCUUUGAACGCACAUUGCGCCCCCUGGUAUUCCGGGGGGCAUGCCUGUCCGAGCGUCAUUGCUGCCCUCAAGCACGGCUUGUGUGUUGGGCCUCCGUCCUCCUCCCGGGGGACGGGCACGAAAGGCAGCGGCGGCACCGCGUCCGGUCCUCGAGCGUAUGGGGCUUCGUCACCCGCUCUUGUAGGCCCGGCCGGCGCUUGCCGACACAUCAAUCUUUUUUCCAGGUUGACCUCGGAUCAGGUAGGGAUACCCGCUGAACUUAAGCAUAUCAAUAAGCGGAGGA
rnacentral:misc_RNA from 1 species